GAUGAACGCUAGCUACAGGCUUAACACAUGCAAAUCGCGGGGCAGCAUGGGGGUUGCUUGCAAUCCCCGAUGGCGACCGGCGCACGGGUGAGUAACGCGUAUCCAACCUGCCCUUCACCACGGGAUAACCCGGCGAAAGUCGGACUAAUACCGUAUGUUGUCCAUUGACGGCAUCCGAUUUGGACGAAAGGCUUGGCGGUGAGGGAUGGGGAUGCGUCCGAUUAGCCAGACGGCGGGGUAACGGCCCACCGUGGCUACGAUCGGUAGGGGUUCUGAGAGGAAGGUCCCCCACACUGGAACUGAGACACGGUCCAGACUCCUACGGGAGGCAGCAGUGAGGAAUAUUGGUCAAUGGGCGUAAGCCUGAACCAGCCAAGUAGCGUGCAGGAUGACGGCCCUAUGGGUUGUAAACUGCUUUUAUGCGGGGAUAAAGUGGCCCACGUGUGGGCUUUUGCAGGUACCGCAUGAAUAAGGACCGGCUAAUUCCGUG
rnacentral:rRNA from 1 species